rnacentral:rRNA from 1 species
GCUGGCGGCAAGCCUUACACAUGCAAGUCGAGCGGUAACAUUUCUAGCUUGCUAGAAGAUGACGAGCGGCGGACGGGUGAGUAAAGCAUAGGAAUCUGGUCAAUAGAGGGGGAUAGCCCGGAGAAAUCCGGAUUAGUACCGCAUACACUCUAUGGAGAAAAAGCAGGGGGAUCUUCGGACCUUGCGCUAUUGGAUGAGCCUAUGUCGGAUUAGUUAGUUGGUGGGGUAAAGGCCUACCAAGGCAGCGAUCCGUAGCUGGUCUUAGAGGAUGAUCAGCCACAUCGGGACUGAGACACGGCCCGAACUCCUACGGGAGGCAGCAGUGGGGAAUAUUGCACAAUGGGCGCAAGCCUGAUGCAGCUAUGCCGCGUGUGUGAAGAAGGCCUUAGGGUUGUAAAGCACUUUCAGUAGUGAGGAAAAGUGUUGUGUUAAUAGCGCAAUGCCGUGACGUUAGCUACAGAAGAAGGACCGGCAAACUCCGUG